AGUCGAACGGAAGUCGUUAUAAAAAGGAUUGAAGAUUUAUCUGAUUGAGAUCUUUAUAACAAUGGCUUUAGUGGCGGACUGGUGAGUAACGCGUGAGCAACCUGCCUACUAGAGGGGAAUAACAGUGAGAAAUCAUUGCUAAUACCGCAUAUGUCAUGAACAUCACAUGAUGAAAAUGGGAAAAGAGUAAUCUGCUAGUAGAUGGGCUCGCGUCUGAUUAGAUAGUUGGUGGGGUAACGGCCUACCAAGUCAACGAUCAGUAGCCGGACUGAGAGGUUGAACGGCCACAUUGGGACUGAGAUACGGCCCAGACUCCUACGGGAGGCAGCAGUCGGGAAUAUUGCGCAAUGGAGGAAACUCUGACGCAGUGACGCCGCGUAUAGGAAGAAGGUUUUCGGAUUGUAAACUAUUGUCGUUAGGGAAGAUACAAGACAGUACCUAAGGAGGAAGCUCCGGCUAACUACGUGCCAGCAGCCGCGGUAAUACGUAGGGAGCAAGCGUUAUCCGGAUUUAUUGGGUGUAAAGGGUGCGUAGACGGGACAACAAGUUAGUUGUGAAAUCCCUCGGCUUAACUGAGGAACUGCAACUAAAACUAUUGUUCUUGAGUGUUGGAGAGGAAAGUGGAAUUCCUAGUGUAGCGGUGAAAUGCGUAGAUAUUAGGAGGAACACCGGUGGCGAAGGCGACUUUCUGGACAAUAACUGACGUUGAGGCACGAAAGUGUGGGGAGCAAACAGGAUUAGAUACCCUGGUAGUCCACACCGUAAACGAUGGAUACUAGGUGUAGGAAAUGAUUUCAUUUUCU
rnacentral:rRNA from 1 species